AUUGAACGCUGGCGGCAGGCCUAACACAUGCAAGUCGAGCGAGCGGCGGACGGGUGAGUAAUAUCUGGGAAACUGCCUGAUGGAGAGGGGUAACUACUGGAGACGGUAUCUAAUACCGCAUACCAUCAGAUGUGCCCAGAGGGGGUUAGCGGGUAGGUGGGGUAACGGCUCACCUAGGCGACGAUCCCUAGCUGGUCUGAGAGGAUGACCAGCCACACUGGAACUGAGACACGGUCCAGACUCCUACGGGAGGCAGCAGUGGGGAAUAUUGCACAAUGGGCGCAAGCCUGAUGCAGCCAUGCCGCGUGUGUGAAGAAGGCCUUCGGGUUGUAAAGCACUUUCAGCGGGGAGGCGUUACCCGCAGAAGAAGCACCGGCUAACUCCGUGCCAGCAGCCGCGGUAAUUC
rnacentral:rRNA from 1 species